AGUAAUGUCUGGGAAACUGCCUGAUGGAGGGGGGUAACUACUGGAAACGGUAGCUAAUACCGCAUAACGUCGCAAGACCAAAGAGGGGGACCUUCGGGCCUCAUGCCAUCAGAUGUGCCCAGAUGGGAUUAGCUAGUAGGUGGGGUAACGGCUCACCUAGGCGACGAUCCCUAGCUGGUCUGAGAGGAUGACCAGCCACAUGGAACUGAGACACGGUCCAG
rnacentral:rRNA from 1 species